UUUUUCCAUAUUUUAUUUUCUUGAUUUUUUAUUUUUCUUGGAUUUCCUUAUUUUUCCUUUGUUUUAGUUGGUUUAAAAGUACUUUUAUGCAUUUAAAAAAUUCUGAAAAAUUUAUUUUAUGUUUCUUAUUUUAUCUCCAACCUUCCAUAAUUUUCUUGGCCAUUUAUUUGUUAUUUUGAAGGUCUUUAUGGAUUUUCUCUUUUAUUUCCCUUUUAAAAAUCAUUUUUAAGAAUAUUUUUGAUGCAUUUUAUU
rnacentral:lncRNA from 1 species